GAGCCUCCAUGCCUGUCCCCCAGGGCUGUCCCCAAAAGCCUCCCAGACAUUUGGGCUAGGGCGUGUCCCAGAUUCCUAAAGGCAGGAUCCCCCAGGAACAAAGCCAAGAGGUCUCCUUGCCCAGGCCCCCGGGCCAUCCCUGAGCUCAUGCUGUCCUGCAGGCCUCCAGGGAAGCCCUUCUUGCUGCUGCCGAGCUGCUGAAGUGGAGGACGCUCAAGCACCUGCUGCAGAGAGAGCGGCUGUGGGAGCUUGGAGCGUGCUUGCUAAAGAAGAGCGGGAGCAGGGCUGAAGAUCUCAUCCACCAGAGCCUGCCCUACCUGCAGGACCCUCAGGCCAACGUGCGCCUGGCGGCCGUCAGGUUCAUCGGACUCAUCACACGGCGCCUGAGGGAGCAGACCACGGAGAGUCAGGCUGAG